rnacentral:rRNA from 1 species
CCUACGGGAGGCAGCAGUGGGGGAUAUUGCACAAUGGGGGAAACCCUGAUGCAGCGACGCCGCGUGGGUGAAGAAGCGCCUCGGCGCGUAAAGCCCUGUCAGCAGGGAAGAAAAUGACGGUACCUGAAGAAGAAGCCCCGGCUAACUACGUGCCAGCAGCCGCGGUAAUACGUAGGGGGCAAGCGUUAUCCGGAUUUACGGGGUGUAAAGGGGGCGCAGACGGCGAUGCAAGCCAGGAGUGAAAGCCCGGGGCCCAACCCCGGGACUGCUCUUGGAACUGCGUGGCGAGAGUGCAGGAGGGGCAGGCGGAAUUCCUGGUGUAGCGGUGAAAUGCGUAGAUAUCAGGAGGAACACCGGUGGCGAAGGCGGCCUGCUGGACUGCAACUGACGUUGAGGCCCGAAAGCGUGGGGAGCAAACAGGAUUAGAUACCCCAGUAGUC